ACCUUGAUUUUCAUCAUACCUGGUGCGACGUGGUUCCGUGGAUGUUCGUUUCUUUCGUUAUUAUGUGAUCCUGCUCACUGUUUUCUGUGUGUCUGUGUGUGUAUCAACAAAGUACUUCUUCAUUUAGGAUCAUUAUUGGCGUUUGUUUGUAGACGCACCCCGGGCUGAGGAAAGAAUGAAGCAGGGAGAGCUCCGUCGCGCCUUAAUAGUCGUCACCGGACUCUGUUUCUUCUUGUUCGUCUAUUUGUACUGGCAGCAGUCCUCCAGGCCCUUACACGCCCUCAUUUUGACCUAUCGGCACGUCUAUAGCUCCACCAGGGAAUCCUUACCGCCCCAGUGGACGUGGCAAUGCGUGAAUCAGCGAUGCGAACGUCAUCAGAUAACCGGAGGAAACGUGAAAAUUACGUCGCAAAGUACGUGCGGAAUGUUGUGUGGUACGAUGCAACUGUGGCCGCUGCCCACUGGCCCCGUGACACUGGGUAGCAAAGCGCUCGUGUUCCACCAGAGCCAACUCCAAUUCGAGGCGGUGGCGUCAGGUGAGGCGAAGGAAAUGUUGGAGGAGGCCUUCGUAGCCUUCAACGACUCGAUACUUAGUUUAGUGCGUGACGACAAUUAUCUUAACGAAAAGACUGACAUUCUUAGGUUCGUGGUGCGGGUGUCGGUGACGCGUAACGACCCUACGACCCGUCUAAAGUUGAACACCGACGAGGGUUACACGUUAACGGUGAAGUUCAAAAACGGCGACGUGUUGGCUGAAGUUGGUGCGAGGAGCUACUUCGGUGCCAGGCACGGAUUGGAGACUCUGUCUCAACUUAUUUGGUGGGACGAAUACGAGGGUAGCGUGGGAUCACUAAAAGUUUUAAAAGGGGCAACUGUUCAGGACGCCCCAGCCUUUCCUUACCGUGGCCUUAUGGUAGAUACUGCCAGGAAUUUUAUGUCAAUUGAAAGUUUAAAGAGAGUUUUGGUAGGAAUGUCCGCUAGUAAACUGAACGUGUUCCAUUGGCACUUGAGUGACUCCCAAAGUUUCCCGAUGCUGCUGCCCAGUGUGCCUCAAUUAGCGAAAACCGGCUCGUAUAGUCCUCAAGAGGUUUACACCCCGGAUGAGGUUAAGGCUUUAGUGGAAUUCGCGAGGUAUCGCGGUAUAAGAACGAUUUUGGAGGUGGACGUUCCUGCGCAUGCCGGAAACGGAUGGACCUGGGGACCGCAAGAAGGUUUAGGAGAGUUGGCGGUUUGCGUCAACGAGAGGCCGUGGAGCCUCUACUGCGGAGAACCGCCCUGCGGACAGUUGAACCCGGAAAAUCCGAACGUGUACGACGUCCUGGAAAAGGUGUAUCGGGACUUAUUGGACUUAUCCGGCGAGAGGGAGAUUUUCCAUCUGGGCGGUGACGAGGUGAACCUGGAAUGUUGGGCUCAACAUUUCCAGAAAUCAAACGCGAACAAUAACCACUCGGACCUACACGAUCUGUGGGGCGAGUUUACUGGAAAAGCGUUGGCCAGACUGCAAAAAGCGAACGGGGGCUUCAAAAUCCCAAACGUCAUUAUCUGGUCCAGUAAACUCAGUAAGAGACCCUAUGUCACCAAGUAUCUGGAUAAGAAUCAAAUAACUGUUCAAAGUUGGGGUGCCAGCCAAUGGACCGAUACUCCAGAAUUAGUGGCUGACGGUUAUAAGGUCCUGGCGUCCCACGUGGAUGCCUGGUAUCUGGAUUGUGGAUUUGGCAGGUGGAGGGAAACCGGGGAGGCCGCUUGCGACCCUUACAGGCCUUGGCAGACCGUUUACAACCAUCAGCCUUGGCACCAAUUAAGACUAAGCAAAAAGAGCUUUUUGGGUGGCGAGGUUUGCCUAUGGACCGAACAAGUGAACGAAUGGAACCUGGACUCCCGAUUGUGGCCACGUGCCGCCGCAUUUGCAGAAAGGAUGUGGACAGACCCUUCGCAAGACACCACCACCUACUCGAUCCACGAGGACGUUUACACGAGACUGAGUGUCCAUAGGGAGAGGUUGAUUAGUAGAGGGUUGAAGCCGGAGGCCAUGUGGCCUACCUGGUGCUCCCAGAAUCCGGGCAUGUGCUUGUAGAUCUGAACUUGUUGUGAUAUCGUUAUUAUUUUUUUCUCGUGGGUUGAAGGGUGAUUAAUGGUGCGGUGGCAUUUUUUUCUUUAUAAAGUACGCCCAUGGUGACUCCGCCUUCACUUUAUUCUGAUUGGCUUCAAUAGGAGAGUUACAGUUUGGAUGGGCGUAUUCAAGGCAUUCAGUAGCGUACAUUUGACACUAUUGAUUUUACUUUAGAAUCAAUUGUACUAAUUUUGCAGUUUAAACAUGAUAUGUGACUACAUAAAAAUAUUUAUAAAAUAGAAAUAAACACUACUUUCUGUUUAAAUUAAAUCUGUAGAGCUUACACGAAUCAACAUAUUGCAGCUGCAAAGCAAAAUGUCCCCUUAAAACUGAUUAUGACCCAAAAAUGGCUCGUAACUUCUUUACUAAUUGACCUACAGUUAUGAUCAUCAUAAACAAACCUGAAGACUAACUCAUCAUCUGUAAGAGCCUUUUAAAAUUUUUCUAAAAUGUUCAACUGUUUAAAAGAUAUGAUCAUUUGAACUUUUCUUCACGUCAGUAGCACCUUCGAGCGUGAACCUCCAAGUUUUUGGUUGAUAACUUUUGAUCUACUGAAGGUAGAAUCAUAAAGUGAACUUUAUUCGAUUAGCAGAGAGUUGCUCAACAAUGUUGGUUAUCUUCCUUAAAGUUGUAGACACAAUACGACCGGAGAUAUUGCAGAUGCAAAUCAAAAGAUCCACUUCAAAGAGGUCAUAACCCAAAAAUGGCUCAUAUCUUUUUUACUUAUUUACCUACAGUCAUGAUUGUUAUAAACAAACUUAAAGACUUACUGAUCAUCUUUAAGAACCUUUUUAAAUUUUUCCAAAAUGUUCAACUGUUGAAGAGAUUUAAUCAUUUCAAUUUUGCAUCACGUCAGUAGCACCUUUGAGCGUCAACCUCCAGCAUUUUAGUUAAUAACUUUUGAUCUACUGAAGAUAGAGUUAUGAAAUAAACUUUAUUCGAUUAGCAGUGAGUUGCUCAACAAUGUUGGUUAUCUUCCUUAAAGUUGUAGACUCAAUACGACCGGAGAUAUUGCAGAUGCAAAUCAAAAGAUCCCUUUUAAAGAGGUCAUAACCCAAAAAUGGCUCAUAUCUUCUUUACUAAUUCACCUACAGUGAUGAUCAUCAUAAAUAAACUUGAACACUAACUGAUCAUUUUUAAAAAAUUUUUAAAAUUUUUCCAAAAUGUUUAACUGUUGAAGAGAUAUAAUCAUUUCAAUUUUGCUUCACGUCAGUAGCACCUUUGAGCGUCAACCUCCAGGGUUUUGGUUGAUAACUUUUGAUCUAGUGAAGGUAGAAUCAUGAAAUAAACUUUAUUCGAUAAGUAAUGAUUUAUUUAACAAUGUUGAUUAUAUUCAUUAAGUUUGUAACACCCAUACAAACGGAGAUAUUGUAGCUGCAAAAUCCUGUAAGAUUGGCUUAUAUUUUUUUUUAAUGUUUUGAUCAUUCUUUUACGCGUUCUGUAUCCUCUAUUUGUUCAAUUAAUUCCUCUGCUGUCAAUGUUGAUGUAGUGGAUGUGAAAGAUGGACAUAUAUUUGAUGUCUCUUUCUAUCUUCUAUAAAAUGGUUAAGAGGAAGAUAAUUUAGAAGAAGAAAAAACAAUAAUGAGAACUUAUGACCUUUUUCUUUUUACUGUCAUAAAAAUAAUAUUGUAAUAUUUAAACUUUACAUUAAAAAAAAUUAUUGAUUGCUUCAUUCCCAUAAGUCAUCCAGGGGCGUACAAUAACAUUUUGCCACUGACUGUUAACUACUUUUUCAUAUAAAUUUAUACAGAGGAGUCUCAUUUUUACAAAAACUUGUAUAUGCUUAAUUCUAAAAGAAAAAACAAUGUGAUUACAAUACAAAAAAAAAUUAUAUAUAUGUACUGAAUAUUUGGGGUUGUAUAGACAUGAAUUUACAAAUAAAUUUUACAUGAGAUUAUUAUAUAAUUGCACUUUUGUAUAUUUAUGCACCGGGGAGUUUAGUUUUGUAUAUAUUUAUUAUGUAUAUGUCCCGAUGAAUUUAACUGACCAAUAAGAUAGAUACACUUUGUUAAGUUUAUGUAGCUUAUUAGUGAUAUACGUAUAAAUAAUUUAUAUACUAAA
rnacentral:misc_RNA from 1 species